AUGGUUUAAAUAAAAUUUUAAAUACUUUUGAAUAUUUUUUUAUAGUAAUAUUAUUGUACAUGUUUUUUUAACAUUCUUCAUAGAACAGUAAAUCAUAGAGUCGUUUAGUUAUUUUAUUCAGAUAUUUCUAAUCUUAAUUUUACCUAUACGUUUUUGUGAAAAAAAUCAUAAUAUAACGAAAUAUGGCAUUUCAAUAACAAUAUAGUAAAAUAGCAUUUGGGAAUAUUGCCCUUGUUAUUAUAAGCGUUAAAGUAAAAUAGAAGAGUUGUGUAAAUUGACAAAUGACUGAUUAUGUUAAUUUUGUACAAGGAUAUAUGAUUUAUCGUGUGUGAAAAGGCUAAAAUUGUAAGAGAAUUGAUAAAAUAACUUCUUAGUUUGACAACAUAACGACAAAAAAUCAUUUUCUAGCUCAAUACAAACAAGGUCGGUCAAUCAAUAUGGUGUUCGUCACGAAAACUUGAUGCUAAACAUCUGUACUACACAAAUUUAUCACAUCA